AAAUAUAUCAAACUAAUAAUGCAAAGUAUGUUGUUACGUGUCAUUGGGCAUUUUUAAACAUGAUAAUGUUUUGGG